GAUGAACGCUAGCGGCAGGCCUAAUACAUGCAAGUCGAGGGGCAGCACGGUUUUCGGACUGGUGGCGACCGGCGCACGGGUGCGUAACGCGUAUGCAAUCUACCUUAUACUGGAGGAUAGCCCGAGGAAACUCGGAUUAAUACUCCAUAGUAUCACGAAAUGGCAUCGUUUUGUGAUUAAAGAUUUAUUGGUAUAAGAUGAGCAUGCGUCUGAUUAGUUAGUUGGUAAGGUAACGGCUUACCAAGACGAUGAUCAGUAGGGGUUCUGAGAGGAUGAUCCCCCACACUGGCACUGAGAUACGGGCCAG
rnacentral:rRNA from 1 species